AUUCACUUCAUUAGAGUGUCACAGACAUUGACAAUAUAAAGACUGAAAUACUCACGUCUAAGUUGUUCUGGGGAGGAUUGGCUUUGCUGAGGAUGACAAAUAGACUAACCCAGGUUCUCUCAGUUGUAUACUUUCAUGUAAGCACUAAUCUCUAAUACACCUGAUGCCAUAAAAUUUGCC